rnacentral:rRNA from 1 species
GAUGAACGCUAGCGGCAGGCCUAACACAUGCGAGUCGAGGGAGGAGCUUUCGGGCUUCGACCGGCGUACGGGUGCGUAACGCGUAUACAAUCUGCCUUUCACAUAGGGAUAGCCCGAAGAAAUUUGGAUUAAUACCUAAUGGUAUAUAGGAGUGGCAUCACCUUUAUAUUAAAGCUGAGGCGGUGAAAGAUGAGUAUGCGUUCUAUUAGCUAGUUGGAGAGGUAACGGCUCCCCAAGGCGACGAUAGAUAGGGGUUCUGAGAGGGAUAUCCCCCACACUGGUACUGAGAUACGGACCAGACUCCUACGGGAGGCAGCAGUGAGGAAUAUUGGACAAUGGUCGGAAGACUGAUCCAGCCAUGCCGCGUGCAGGAAGACGGCCUUAUGGGUUGUAAACUGCUUUUGCAGGGGAAGAAUAAGGAGUACGUGUACUUUGAUGACGGUACUCUGCGAAUAAGCAUCGGCUAACUCCGUG